CACGUAGGGUGCGAGCGUUGUCCGGAAUUAUUGGGCGUAAAGAGCUCGUAGGCGGUUUGUCGCGUCUGCUGUGAAAUCCCGAGGCUCAACCUCGGGCUUGCAGUGGGUACGGGCAGACUAGAGUGCGGUAGGGGAGACUGGAAUUCCUGGUGUAGCGGUGGAAUGCGCAGAUAUCAGGAGGAACACCGAUGGCGAAGGCAGGUCUCUGGGCCGCAACUGACGCUGAGGAGCGAAAAGCGUGGGGUAGCGAACAGG
rnacentral:rRNA from 1 species